rnacentral:rRNA from 1 species
UGGGGGAUAUUGCACAAUGGGCGAAAGCCUGAUGCAGCGACGCCGCGUGGGGGAUGAAGGCCUUCGGGUUGUAAACUUCUUUUGCUCUGAACAAGGCAUGCUAAUGGGUGUGUUGAGUGUAGGGGUUGAUUAGCGCCGGCUAACUACGUGCCAGCAGCCGCGGUAAUACGUAGGGCGCGAGCGUUGUCCGGAAUUAUUGGGCGUAAAGGGCUUGUAGGUGGCUGGUUGCGUCUGUCGUGAAAGCUCAUGGCUUAACUGUGGGUUUGAGGUGGGGACGGGCUGGCUUGAGUGCAGUAGGGGAGGCUGGAAUUCCUGGUGUAGCGGUGGAAUGCGCAGAUAUCAGGAGGAGUACCGGUGGCGAAGGCGGGUCUCUGGGCUGUUACUGACACUGAGGAGCGAAAGCAUGGGGAGCGAACAGG